AUUGAACGCUGGCGGCACGCCUAACACAUGCAAGUCGAGCGGCAGCGCGAUAUGUAGCAAUACAUAUUGGCGGCGAGCGGCGGACGGGUGAGGAACACGUAGGAACCUACCCUCGAGUGGGGGAUAACCAAGGGAAACUUUGGCUAAUACCGCAUGAUUUCGAGAGAGCAAAGCUGCCGCAAGGUGGCGCUCGAGGAGGGGCCUGCGUCCGAUUAGCUAGUUGGUGAGGUAAGAGCUCACCAAGGCGAUGAUCGGUAACUGGGCUGAGAGGACGACCAGUCACACUGGGACUGCGAGACGGCCCAGGCUCCUACGGGAGGCAGCAGUGGGGAAUAUUGGACAAUGGGGGCAACCCUGAUCCAGCGAUGCCGCGUGAGUGAAGAAGGCCUUCGGGUCGUAAAGCUCUUUAGGUUGGGAAGAAGAGUGAUGGAGGAAAUGCUAUCACUUUGACGGUACCGACAGAAUAAGCACCGGCAAACUCUGUGCCAGCAGCCGCAGUAAGAC
rnacentral:rRNA from 1 species